rnacentral:rRNA from 1 species
AACGCGAAGAACCUUACCCAGGCUUGACAUGCAGAGGACGACGGCAGAGAUGUCGUUUCCCGAAAGGGUCUCUGCACAGGUGCUGCAUGGCUGUCGUCAGCUCGUGCCGUGAGGUGUUUGGUUAAGUCCAGCAACGAGCGCAACCCUUAUCGUUAGUUGCCAACAUUUAAGGUGGGAACUCUAAUGAGACUGCCUGGGUUAACCAGGAGGAAGGUGAGGAUGACGUCAAGUCAGCAUGGCCCUUAUGUCUGGGGCUACACACGUGCUACAAUGGUCGGUACAGAAGGCAGCAAAGCCGUAAGGUGGAGCAAAUCCCUAAAACCGAUCCCAGUUCAGAUUGUAGUCUGCAACUCGACUACAUGAAGUUGGAAUUGCUAGUAAUGGCGCGUCAGCAAUAGCGCCGUGAAUACGUUCCCGGGCCUUGUACACACCGAGACGAC